rnacentral:rRNA from 1 species
UACGAAGGGGGCUAGCGUUGCUCGGAAUCACUGGGCGUAAAGGGUGCGUAGGCGGGUCUUUAAGUCAGGGGUGAAAUCCUGGAGCUCAACUCCAGAACUGCCUUUGAUACUGAGGAUCUUGAGUUCGGGAGAGGUGAGUGGAACUGCGAGUGUAGAGGUGAAAUUCGUAGAUAUUGGGAAGAACACCGGUGGCGAAGGCGGCUCACUGGCUCGUAACUGACGCUCAGGCGCGACAGCGUGGGGAUCAAACAGG